rnacentral:snoRNA from 1 species
CGCUUUAUAUCUACUUCCAGUCCUAAAUAAAAGUUUAAAAGAUUAAUGUGGCUACAUUGAGACACAGGUUAUGCUUCCAUCACAGUAAUCUUAUUACAGUGGUGACAAUGAGACCUGUAACAUUU